rnacentral:rRNA from 1 species
UACGUAGGGGGCAAGCGUUGUCCGGAUUUAUUGGGCGUAAAGAGCGUGUAGGCGGUUAUGCAGGUCCGCUGUGAAAACUGGAGGCUUAACCUCCAGACGUCGGUGGAAACCGUAUGACUAGAGUCCGGAAGAGGAGAGUGGAAUUCCUGGUGUAGCGGUGAAAUGCGCAGAUAUCAGGAAGAACACCCGUGGCGAAGGCGGCUCUCUGGGACGGUACUGACGCUGAGACGCGAAAAGCGUGGGGAGCGAACAGG